AUCGCGGCCUAUCAGCUUGUUGGUGGGGUAACGGCCUACCAAGGCGACGACGGGUAGCCGGCCUGAGAGGGCGACCGGCCACACUGGGACUGAGACACGGCCCAGACUCCUACGGGAGGCAGCAGUGGGGAAUAUUGCACAAUGGGCGAAAGCCUGAUGCAGCGACGCCGCGUGAGGGAUGACGGCCUUCGGGUUGUAAACCUCUUUCAGCAGGGACGAAGCGAAAGUGACGGUACCUGCAGAAGAAGCACCGGCCAACUACGUGCCAGCAGCCGCGGUAAUACGUAGGGUGCAAGCGUUGUCCGGAAUUAUUGGGCGUAAAGAGCUCGUAGGCGGCUAGUCGCGUCGGCUGUGAAAACCUGGGGCUCAACCCCGGGCCUGCAGCCGAUACGGGCUGGCUAGAAUUCGGUAGGGGAGACUGGAAUUCCUGGUGUAGCGGUGAAAUGCGCAGAUAUCAGGAGGAACACCGGUGGCGAAGGCGGGUCUCUGGGCCGAUAUUGACGCUGAGGAGCGAAAGCGUGGGGAGCGAACAGGAUUAGAUACCCUGGUAGUCCACGCCGUAAACGUUGGGAACUAGGUGUGGGCCACAUUCCACGUGGUCUGUGCCGCAGCUAACGCAUUAAGUUCCCCGCCUGGGGAGUACGGAAU
rnacentral:rRNA from 1 species